CAAUAAACAGCAGCAGCUGGUGUUAGAAGUAAGAGGCAGAAAACAGAGGCUUUCUGGCCAAACAAGACUAUAUACAGUGGCAAGAUUAUUUGAACCUUCAAGUGUCUGUCGGUUCAGCCAAGGUCAUUUGUGACUCGUCAAUACUGCUCUUAGUGGUGAACUGAAGAGGUUGACCCUCCCAUACAGCAGGUACU